rnacentral:lncRNA from 1 species
UUCCUGUCUGUACAUUGAGAAGUACACUUCACAGUGGCACAAUGACCUCCACGUCCCCAGCCCUGCCGAGUGAGUAGACGUAGGACAGGAAACAUUAUGUCAUGGUUCAUGGUAUCAAGAAGAGCUCAAACAUGGAAGAAACUUGACAGAGGAGAAUUUAUGGCGACAAUGUCACCAGAAGAGCUGAAGCUGGUUUCCCACAGGAACCAGAACUCUGAAGUAAGCAAGGAAGUCCCCGAAGACUCUAUAGAGCCAACAGCUGCCACUUGGAAAGUCAGCUUCCCCAAACCAAUCUAUCUAAACGUGAGUUCAGGGACAACCUCAACUACUGGCCUGACACCAAAAUAUAAAGCAUUAUCGGCUUAACUCUUAA